GCCAUUUGAUUGGUCAAUAAUCCAUAACACUGGACUUCCAAAUUGUGGAUACUCACAGAACAUUCAAACACACACAGCCAACACUCUGCUCAAAUGGUAUGUGGACAUGGAUGAAGACACCCUAUAUUUAAAACACACCCAAAAAUAUCAAGUCACAAGAUAAGAUCGCACACAACGCAAUCUUAUAGCCUUGGUGCUCUGCUGAGGAUGAAGCUGCAUUCCAACAAUAAAUUGCCCAGACAUUACCACACUGCACUCCAGAAAACUCACAUCAGUACCUUAAUCUUCAAAUUCUGAUAUUCCUACUUGUAAUCUAUUUUGCAGAGCUUUGUGUUUGCAUAUCCAAGCUUAGAAUGUGAGUGUA